AAAAUAUGUAUGUUCGACAUGAUUUGUUGAUAGGGAAACAAAUGAGCAGCACGUUGCACUUGCACUCUAUUAUACUCAAUUUUAAUGAGCUACAAAACGGCAACCAAAUUUUUU